GGGGAAUUUUCCGCAAUGGGCGAAAGCCUGACGGAGCAAUGCCGCGUGGAGGAGGAAGGCCCGAGGGUUGUAAACUCCUUUUCUCAGAAAAGAAGAUCUGACGGUAUCUGAGGAAUAAGCAUCGGCUAACUCCGUGCCAGCAGCCGCGGUAAGACGGAGGAUGCAAGCGUUAUCCGGAAUGAUUGGGCGUAAAGCGUCUGUAGGUGGUUUAUUAAGUCUGCUGUUAAAGCACAGGGCUCAACCCUGUAUAGGCGGUAGAAACUGGUAGGCUUGAGUAUGGUAGGGGUAGAGGGAAUUCCCGAUGUAGUGGUGAAAUGCGUUGAUAUCGGGAAGAACACCAAAGGCGAAAGCACUCUGCUGGGCCAAUACUGACACUAAGAGACGAAAGCUAGGGGAGNCAAUGGGAUUAGAUACCCCAGUAGUC
rnacentral:rRNA from 1 species